GUUCCCGGCGGGGAAGGGGCGCUCCCCCUGGCGGCCGCGGGCGGGGGCGGCCCGUGAGGGACGGCCCGCGAGGAACGACCCGGACCGCGGGGCCGCCUCAGGCCCCGUCUGGGCUCCUUUCACUAACCGGGGCUUGGCUAAACAACCCCAGCUCCCUCAGCUGGUCCUCAUAGGACUCGUGCUCCAGACCCUACACCAGCUCUGCUGCCCUUCUCUGGACUCGUUCCAGACCCCCAAUGUCCUUCCUGAAUUGAGGGGUCCAGAACUGGACAGAGCACUCAAGGAUGCCUUCAUGCGGAAUUGCUUAUGAAUACAGAUAUUAGUACUGAAGACAACUGUCUUGAGGACAGACUGCUUUUCAAGGAGCCACAGAAACACAAAACAAGACUACAAAAGAUAAAAUACAUGGCAACCUCUUUCCAGUUUCUACUGUCUUUAACCUAGUUUUCCUGUUCAGGCUCUCUCCAGGAAAUACAUAUCAACGAUGCAUGAAUGAUAAAGAAGGCAAGGGAGGAGUAAGUAGAGGAAUGGGAAAGCAGCUUGGAAGCCCAAACCACUGAAGGAGACAGACGUAGUUUCAUUGGAAGAGUGAUGAGGAAGAAGUGUGGGUUACUGCACAGUUCAGGGAGUUCCACUUAAGACAGCCUGUCUGAGGCACAUCUCCCUCCUUCAUUUUGAUGUUCUCACAUGGGCGUCUGAACAUCUGCUCUUCAAGACUAUCCCCAUGUAUUACAUAAAGUAAAUAUACGAAAAAUACAGUUUACAGGAUGAUUAGCUAGCAAAUAGUAUAUUCUAAGUACUACAAUGAACUCAGAGAAGACUUGAAUGUACUGCAUCUGCUGAACUUCCUUUUUCUCUUGAGGCUCUAUUUUUGUGCUCAGCAUUGCAGCUGAACUUCACAAACUGUGACGCCACAUGAAACAGGCCCAAAUGUGUGAUUUUUAAGCAGCUGAAGAUGAAGAAUUAACAUUUUUAACAGCUAUUACUAAGUAUCCCUUAUGGCACUACAGAUGAAAUCCCCACACUUACCAAAUGCAAGCUUAGUCCAACUCUUCUCAGUGGUUUUUUGCAUGCAUCUGCAUGGCACAGAGAAGCAUUAAACCAUGAGAUAUUUGAUAGGCAACAGUUCUGCUAGGUGUUCCACUGCAAAUUGUUUGCUCCCCAAGAAGAGAUGUUAGCCCAACAGGCAGCAAUUCUUGCAUUUCAGAAGUAUCACUAGAAAUUUAAGGUUAAUACAGUAGCUAGUCCAUAAAACCUAAAAGCCAUGUGCACAUUUCAGAUUGUAAUUUUCAGCUGAAAAAUAUGACCUGCCUGGAAAUAAAGUAGACAUUUACUCAAAAAUUUCAAGCUUAAAAUUUGCAGAGCAGCUUUAUUUUAACCAGUAUACUCAAAAGAACUGAUGUGGGAACAGGGGACAGAAGGAGAAAGAGAAGAUUUACAAAAUUCCCCUGAAACAGUUUCAUUUCAGUCUAAUCAGCAACUUGUCUACAUUCAACUAGCCUUGAAAGUCUGAAGAAAUUUAGUUGAUUUAAAUUGCAGCAUUUUUUCAGUGUUCAUACUGAAAAACAUUUUUAAAGUAUGAUUAUUAAAAUUGUGCCCUGUUGUUAUAUUACCUCUGCUUUCUGCAUCUUAUGUGCUAGUCUGAAACUUUGUGUCCAACAGCAAUAAAGGCAGAGAAGUGAUUGAGAGAAAAAUUAAUGUAAUUUGUACUGUUACUCUUUUAAAAAUUGGGGUAAUCCCAAACCCAACCUCUCCCCAGCCUAGAGCAAGAAGGUGUUUUUGCCAAAUUAGCUUCAGUGGUUUACCCAAUUUAUUUAGUUUGGUGCUUACUUGAUGGUGAAAGAACAGGGAGCAGGGUUUACUGGCACUACUUUUUGUGAAAAGGGCCAUCUGUCGCAGAGACUAGUUCUGCUUUAUAGCUGUGGUAAAUCCCAUCUUAAUUGUCUACUCUCACCAAAGCAGUAGUUGGGGGAGCAGCAGCUCAAGAGGACAAAGAAAUCAGCCCAGGAGCCUUGGUCUCCUGAGAGGGAAACAAGUAAAAGACAUCAGGUUACACAGAAAUAUUCUCAGAUAUUUUUCUUUUGUGGUAAAUUUUCCUCCAAACAGCAUGAGCAGGCUGCAGCUAGGGAAGUGACAGCAGCAUUAAGAGAAUUUGAAGGAGGGAAGCAAGCUACUUUAGUAUUUUAGAAUGAAAAGGCAUGGUAGGGGGCAGUCUUUGUGUAAAUAAUAAUUUGUAAAUAAUAAUUUUAAAUCAAAACAACCCAAAAACCCCAAAGCUAUGUGGCCUUAGGGAAAAACACAUGUAGAAGCUUCAAAUACACAGAAGUGACAUCUGUUUUAAGAAGUGAAAUUAUAACGAGUAAUUUGUAAGGUUUUGCCCUGUCCCAGCCUCUCCAAAUAAGGGCACCUGGUGCAAUAGCAAUUAGUGCAUUAUGUGGCCAAUUUUACAGCUUCAUAAAGAGUUCUGUGCUUUGACAAAUGCUCAUGUGAAUUAACUUAGAUUCCAGGCGUUGUCUUUCAAAAAUCUGGACAGUAUCCACUAGUUUAAAAUGUAAAACCCAGUUGCAUCCUAAUGACACAUACUGCAGUUGUGUGGAAUGGGUCCUGCUUUCAUCAUCAGAGAAUCUUUUCUCUCAAGCAUGUUCCAAAUUCAGUUUCAAGUUUACAUACCUAGACGAAUGUUCUGAUACUGAUGCAUGCCAUGCAUCCAUAAUUAGAAGCCUAAUUUUUUUCUUCCAGACAAUUUAUUCUAUGCAGCUGUUCAUCAGCAGGUCAUGCAUUUCCCCAUGUGUCACCUUUACUGAAUUGUUGACAUAAGCAAAAGUUUAAGGACUGCAGUUAAAUACAUAGUUAAGAAUAUCCACUGAAACUUCUCAGUCCACAAUUCAAUCUUCUAUUUUAACAAGUGUGCUUAACUUGAGGGAGUUAAGUCCACAACAAAAUAUAUGUUGUUCUUAAAUGAAUUUAGGUAUUUUGAAAAUACGGAGGUAACUUGGGUCAGGGGAGGUGAUCCUGCCCUUCUACUCAGCCCUAGUGAGGCCACACCUGGAGUGCUGUGUCCACUUUUGGGCUCCUCAGGACAAGAGAUACAGAGAUAUGGACCAGGUCCCGUGGAGAACAAACAUGAUUAAGGGAGCAUCUCUCUCACAAGGAAAAGCUGAGGGAGCUGGGCCUGUUCAGCCUCCAGAAGAGAUGCCUGAGAGGGGACCUCAUCAAUGUCUGCCAGUAUCUAAAGCGGGGGUGACAAUGGAGCCAGACUCUUCUUGGUGGUGC